GACCCCUACGGGGCGCAGCAGUGAGGAAUAUUGGUCAAUGGCCAAGAGGCUGAACCAGCCAAGUCGCGUGAGGGAUGACGGCCCUACGGGUUGUAAACCUCUUUUGUCGGGGAGCAAAGAGAGUCACGUGUGACUCAUUGAGAGUACCCGAAGAAAAAGCAUCGGCUAACUCCGUGCCAGCAGCCGCGGUAAUACGGAGGAUGCGAGCGUUAUCCGGAUUUAUUGGGUUUAAAGGGUGCGCAGGCGGAGGUGCAAGUCAGCGGUCAAAUUGCGGUGCUCAGCCCCGGCCGGCCGUUGAAACUGGU
rnacentral:rRNA from 1 species